AUGCAUGUCUAAGUACAAGCCUGAAUAAGGUGAAACCGCGAAUGGCUCAUUAAAUCACACCUAAUGUACCGGACAGUUCCAAUUACUUGGAUAACUGCGGUAAUUCUGGAGCUAAUACAUGCUUAAAAGCCCUGACUUACGGAAGGGCGCAUUUAUUAGAUCAAAACCAAACCGCUUGCGGUUUUAUUGGUGAAUCUGAAUAACUCUAUGCUGAUCGUAUGGCUCAACGCCGACGACGUGUCCGUCCAAGGUGUGCCCUAUCAACUGUCGACUGUGGCAUAGACGCCCACAGUGGUUUUGACGGGUAACGGGGAAUUAGGGUUCGAUUCCGGAGAGGGAGCCUGAGAAACGGCUACCACU
rnacentral:rRNA from 2 species